CCAAGACAAUUCUAAGCAAAAACAGCAAACCUGGAAGCAUUAUACUACUGACUUUAAAAUAUGCUACAAGGCUACAAUAACCAAAAGAGCAUGGUCCUGGUACAAAAACAAACAUAGACCAAUGGAACAGAAUAGAGGGCCCAGAAACAAGGCCACAUGCCUACAACCAUCUGAUCUUUAACAAAGUGGACAAAAUCAAGCAAUGGGGAAAGGACUCCUGAUUCAAUAAAUGGUGC